rnacentral:rRNA from 1 species
ACUACGGUGCGCAGCAGUGGGGAAUCUUGCGCAAUGGGCGAAAGCCUGACGCCGCGACGCCGCGUGAGGGAUGAAGGUCUUCGGAUCGUAAACCUCUGUCAGCAGGGAAGAACGGUCACUGUGCUAAUCAGCAGUGCAUUGACGGUACCUGCAAAGGAAGCACCGGCUAACUCCGUGCCAGCAGCCGCGGUAAUACGGAGGGUGCGAGCGUUAAUCGGCAUGACUGGGCGUAAAGCGCUCGUAGGCGGUAUGUCAAGUCAAGGGUGAAAGCCCCGCGCUCAACGUGGGAACUGCCUUUGAAACUGGCAAACUGGAGCGUGUGAGAGGAUAGUGGAAUUCCAGGUGUAGGAGUGAAAGCCGUAGAUAUCUGGAGGAACACCAGUGGCGAAGGCGACUAUCUGGCACAUAACUGACGCUGAGGAGCGAAAGCGUGGGUAGCAAACAGGAUUAGAUACCCCAGUAGUC